UGCCAGCAGCCGCGGUAAUACGGAGGGUGCGAGCGUUAAUCGGAAUUACUGGGCGUAAAGCGCGCGUAGGCGGCUUGGUCAGUCGGAUGUGAAAGCCCAGGGCUUAACCUUGGAAUUGCAUUCGAUACUGCCGAGCUAGAGUAUGGUAGAGGGAAGUGGAAUUUCCGGUGUAGCGGUGAAAUGCGUAGAUAUCGGAAGGAACACCAGUGGCGAAGGCGACUUCCUGGGCCAAUACUGACGCUGAGGUGCGAAAGCGUGGUGAGCAAUCAGGAUUAGAUA
rnacentral:rRNA from 1 species